GACGAACGCUGGCGGCGUGCUUAACACAUGCAAGUCGAACGAUGAAGAAAAGAAUCGAAGCUUCGGCAGAAAUUCAUUUCGGAUUAGUGGCAGACGGGUGAGUAACGCGUGAGCAACCUACCUCUUACAAAGGGAUAGCCUCGGGAAACCGGGAUUAAUACCAUAUAACAUUGCGACGAAGCAUUUCGAUGCAAUCAAAGCUACGGCGGUAAGAGAUGGGCUCGCGUCCCAUUAACCGGAUGGUGAGGUAACGGCUCACCAUAGUGACGAUGAGUAACCGGCCUGAGAGGGUGAACGGUCACACUGGAACUGAGACACGGUCCAGACUCCUACGGGAGGCAGCAGUGGGGAAUAUUGCACAAUGGAGGGAACUCUGAUGCAGCGACGCCGCGUGAGUGAUGAAGGAAUUCGUUUCGUAAAACUCUGUUCUAUGGGAAGAAAAGGACUGUACCAUAGGAGAAAGCUCCGGCUAAAUACGUG
rnacentral:rRNA from 1 species